rnacentral:rRNA from 1 species
UACGUAGGGUGCAAGCGUUAAUCGGAAUUACUGGGCGUAAAGGGCUCGUAGGCGGCCAACUAAGUCGGACGUGAAAUCCCUCAGCUUAACUGGGGAACUGCGUCCGAUACUGGAUGGCUUGGAUUUGGGAGAGGGAUGCGGAAUUCCAGGUGUAGCGGUGAAAUGCGUAGAUAUCUGGAGGAACACCGGUGGCGAAGGCGGCAUCCUGGACCAACAUUGACGCUGAGGAGCGAAAGCUAGGGGAGCAAACGGG